UACGAAGGGGGCUAGCGUUGUUCGGAAUUACUGGGCGUAAAGCGCGCGUAGGCGGGCAUUUAAGUCAGGGGUGAAAUGCCGGGGCUCAACCUCGGAACUGCCUUUGAUACUGGAUGUCUGGAGUUCGGGAGAGGUGAGUGGAAUUCCGAGUGUAGAGGUGAAAUUCGUAGAUAUUCGCAAGAACACCAGUGGCGAAGGCGGCUCACUGGCCCGGUACUGACGCUGAGGUGCGAAAGCGUGGGGAGCAAACAGG
rnacentral:rRNA from 1 species